GUAACCUCAGUGGAACUGUGGCUUCAUCGAGUUCCAGCUCUAGGCAGACAGCACGUCAGGAAGGCUGUAAGACAUCACAGAGACAGAUGCUUGGCUUUUUCUUGGUCUUGGAGAUUCGCUCUGAUGUUUCAAUCCCUUUUGGAGCUUCUAGAUGCUGGCUGUCUGGCCCCUCCUGUUGGUUCUCUGGCCCCUCCUGCUGGUUCUCUGAACUCCCCUCCUGGUUCUCUGCCCAUGCCUGUUGCCUCCUUGGCCCCUCCUGCUGGCCAUCUCCAGAUGCAACAGGCUCUUGGCUUACUUGUUGGCCUGUCGCCCACACCGGCAAUUCCUGACCUUGGUUGUAGUCGUGGCUGUGUUGGGUGGUUGGACACCGGGUGAUGUACUGGGUGCUGAACUUCUGGAUUUGCUCAUCAGCCUCCAGAUUAAUCUGCUCCAGCCUUCAGCAGCUCCUUCCUCUUCUCCCUCUCUCUCUCUGCCCGGGUCAUGGUGGAUGUUAGCCUCGUGUGUCCAGGGAUGGCUGGAAGGGGAGAAGAAGUAGAGUUUACAUUCAACUUAGUGGAUCUGGUAUCAACUUAAAUGUAAUG